UGGCUGUCGUCAGCUCGUGUCGUGAGAUGUUGGGUUAAGUCCUCUAACGAGCGCAACCCUUGCCGUCAGUUGCUAUUUGCGUAAGCAAAGCACUCUGAUGGAACUGCCUGGGAAACCAGGAGGAAGGUGGGGAUGACAACAAGUCCUCAUGGCCUUUAUGCCUAGGGCUACACACGUGUUACAAUGGCUAGUACAAAGGGUUGCAAACUCGCAACUGUAAGCUAAUCCCAUAAAGCUAAUCUAAGUUCAGAUUGAGGUCUGCAACUCGACCUCAUGAAGUUGAAAUCGCUAGUAAUCGCA
rnacentral:rRNA from 1 species